UACGGAGGGUGCGAGCGUUAAUCGGAAUGACUGGGCGUAAAGGGCAUGUAGGCGGAUAGUUAAGUUAGAUGUGAAAUCCCUGGGCUUAACUUAGGAACUGCAUUCGAAACAGUUUAUCUAGAGUAUUGUAGAGGAAGGUAGAAUUCCAUGUGUAGCGGUGAAAUGCGUAGAGAUGUGGAGGAAUACCGGUGGCGAAGGCGGCUUUCUGGACAGAUACUGACGCUGAGGUACGAAAGCGUGGGGAGCAAAUAGG
rnacentral:rRNA from 1 species